GAUCCUGGGACUCUCUGAUUCCCCAGGUUCCUCCCAGUCCUGUGUGUCCAGGUGUCAGGGACUUAGGAGUUCAUGAUUCCUGGUUCUCUGGGGUCCGAGGUGAGGAGCUCUGGGGUCAGGGGGACUCUCGUGGGUGCCACAGGUUGGGUCUGCUCCAAGAUUUCCAGGGAUGGCCCCAGGGGUGCACAGCCCCAGCCAGAAGGUUCAGGAGGUCUUAGAGUCAUGGAAUCAUUGGGGUUGGAAAAGCUCUGAGACCAUCGAGUCCAACCAUCCCCCAGCACUGCCCAGGCCACCACUGACCCCUGUCCCAAAGUGCCACAUCCACAGGGAUUUUAAAUCCCACCAGAGAUGGGGACUCCAACCCUGCCCUGGGCAGCUGUGCCAGGGCUGGACAGCCCUUUCCAGGAAGGAAUUGUCCCAAUAUCCAACCUGGCCCUGCCCUGGCACAGCUGGAGGCUGUUCCCCCUUGUGCUGUCCCCUGUUCCCUAGGAGCAGAGCCCGAACUCCCCCAGCCCCCCCCUCCUGUCAGGGAGUUCCAGAGAGCGAAAAGGCGCGGAGGUCGCGCUCGCGACCGAGGGACGUCUCCCGUCCUUGGGAAGAGGCACGUUCAGCCCAUCCAUCACCAUCGUGCAACUGUGACCGAUCUCCACCACCUGCUGCCGACACAGCCCUCCCACAGCCAGCGGGAGGGCUCUCCCACAGCCACCCGGGGGGCUCUCCCCGGAACACCCGGAGGACUCUCCUGCCCUCGGGGCCAUUGCAUGUUCCCUCGGCGUGUUCCCCAGCGACGCCCACACCAUGUCCCACCCGGCUCAGCGAGGCACGGGAGGCUUGAGAAAACGAAACAAAAAAAAACACCUGAAAGGAAA